rnacentral:rRNA from 1 species
UACGUAGGGUGCGAGCGUUAAUCGGAAUUACUGGGCGUAAAGCGUGCGCAGGCGGUCUUGCAAGACAGUGGUGAAAUCCCCGGGCUCAACCUGGGAACUGCCAUUGUGACUGCAAGGCUGGAGUACGGCAGAGGGGGGUGGAAUUCCGCGUGUAGCAGUGAAAUGCGUAGAUAUGCGGAGGAACACCGAUGGCGAAGGCAGCCCCCUGGGCCUGUACUGACGCUCAUGCACGAAAGCGUGGGGAGCAAACAGGAUUAGAUACCCUGGUAGUCCACGCCCUAAACGAUGUCAACUGGUUGUUGGGGAUUCAUUUCUUCAGUAACGAAGCUAACGCGUGAAGUUGACCGCCUGGGGAGUACGGCCGCAAGGUUAAA